UGCCGCCCGCCCCCCUGCUGUCCCCAUCGCCGCCGCCUUACCCGGCCAGCUCCAGGAGGAGGCUGCCCACGCUGACCCCCCGCGCCGAGCCGGCCGCCAGCACCGCCGCCAGCUGCGGCAGCUUGAUCACGGCGCACACCGCCCAGGUGCUCCAGUGAGCCAGGGCCAGCAGCGUGGACGCCAUCCCGCCGCGCUGCGCUGCCCACCCGCGGCAGCCCGGAAUAGGGAACCGGCGGUGCGUCGUGGUGAGGUUGUGGUUAUCAGAGGAGAUUUACAGAUGACUGGAAAAAGGCAAAUGUCGUGCCUUCUUGCAGGAAGGAAGAUCCAGAGCAUGACAGGAUGGUCAACCCAACCUUAGUUUCCAGGAAAAUUAUGGAGCAAAUCAUCCAUAAUGGCCUCCUCUGGCUGUUUCCAGAAGCUGGAUAUUUGAGGCCCCAUUCUGCCACUGGAGACAUGAUGGUAAAAACAAGGUAGAAAUGAUCAAGAUUUAGAAAAAAAAAAAGAAGACUGUGAUUCCAGCUACUCUUCCUAUCUGGUUGGAUUUACCGAACAAUUUUCUGGUGCCCAAGGACUGGGAGUUUUGCUAUUGACUGACACGGAGUUGUCACAGGACCUCACCAUGAGGAGGGAGGUUAUGUCUGGGCUGAUAGACUCCUCUGUGACAGAGUGAUAGUGUUUCAACUCUGAUUUAAAGAACCUCCUCGUACUAAAUAAGUACAGUGGGUCCCUGUGUACUUCAUGUUUGAGGUUGUGUUGUACAAGUGUGCGUGAUAGAAGGAUAAAAAAACAUUGGAGGUUGCACGUAGUUCAUUGGUUUUGCUUGCACUAUGUUAUAUAUAUUUGUGGCAGACUGAAAACAUGGCUGUAUUUAUAUAAGGUUUACUUGAUGUUAGGCUGAGCAGAAACAUCACAAAUUGAAUGAAAGUACUGUAAGCAAAAAAAAAACCCAAAACACCAAACCCUGUUGACUCAGUGUUUGCUCUGUGAAAUGGCUUAUUCAGUUAACUGAGGGCCAUUCUGGGUAAUGGCAUGUUGUCUGAAAUAAUAUGGUUAGUUAAAAAGUAGUACUGAAAGAGUCUGGAAUACCAAACACAGCCUUAAAAACCUGACCCAAAACCUAACAAAGCCAAAGCACUGGGAGAAAGAAAAACAGACUUGCCUUCUCUAACUGGUUUGUACUGGGACUCCUUAAGCUGAUUUCUAUAUUAAAUUUGGAAUUGUCCCUUUUAUGUAGAUAAUCUACACUGAGCUUGUAGCCCAGAGAGGGGGUUAAGCUGUAGCGUUUGGGUGUGGAAUUGACGUUCUAGAUCCAUGGUUACAUCUGAAUGACUCAAAUAAGAGGUUCUAGUGAGAGUUGAAAGUGUGAGUACAUUAUGGCAGCCCUUCCAAUGGUCCUGGUGUGUGAUGCCUCCUGCGUUCCAGCUAGAGGUCCUAUGAUUCUCCCAGAGCAUGCAGAUGGGUCUGCCAGCACUGAGGAGCAGCUUCAGCAUCAUCAUGCUUGUUCCAGCAAAGAAGAUACUUGGCUCACCAGAUCUGAAACACUGCCGUGU